GAUGAACGCUGGCGGCGUGCCUAAUACAUGCAAGUCGAGCGAACGGACGAGAAGCUUGCUUCUCUGAUGUUAGCGGCGGACGGGUGAGUAACACGUGGAUAACCUACCUAUAAGACUGGGAUAACUUCGGGAAACCGGAGCUAAUACCGGAUAAUAUUUUGAACCGCAUGGUUCAAAAGUGAAAGACGGUCUUGCUGUCAUUUAUAGAUGGAUCCGCGCUGCAUUAGCUAGUUGGUAAGGUAACGGCUUACCAAGGCAACGAUGCAUAGCCGACCUGAGAGGGUGAUCGGCCACACUGGAACUGAGACACGGUCCAGACUCCUACGGGAGGCAGCAGUAGGGAAUCUUCCGCAAUGGGCGAAAGCCUGACGGAGCAACGCCGCGUGAGUGAAGAAGGUCUUCGGAUCGUAAAACUCUGUUAUUAGGGAAGAACAUAUGUGUAAGUAACUGUGCACAUCUUGACGGUACCUAAUCAGAAAGCCACGGCUAACUACGUG
rnacentral:rRNA from 1 species